AUUGAACGCUGGCGGCAUGCUUUACACAUGCAAGUCGAACGGUAACAGGCCGCAAGGUGCUGACGAGUGGCGAACGGGCGAGUAAUGCAUCGGAACGUGCCCAGUCGUGGGGGUUAACUACUCGAAAGAGUAGUUAAUACCGCAUACGAUCUAUGGUUGAAAGCGGGGGACCGUAAGGCCACGCGUGAUUGGAGCGGCCGAUGUCAGAUUAGGUAGUUGGUGGGGUAAAGGCUGACCAAGCCAACGAUCUGUAGCUGGUCUGAGAGGACGACCAGCCACACUGGGACUGAGACACGGCCCAGACUCCUACGGGAGGCAGCAGUGGGGAAUUUUGGACAAUGGGCGCAAGCCUGAUCCAGCAAUGCCGCGUGCAGGAAGAAGGCCUUCGGGUUGUAAACUGCUUUUGUACGGAACGAAACGGCUCUGGUUAAUACCCGGGGCUAAUGACGGUACCGUAAGAAUAAGCACCGGCUAACUACGUG
rnacentral:rRNA from 1 species